rnacentral:rRNA from 1 species
GAUUAACGCUGGCGGCGUGCCUAACACAUGCAAGUCGAACGAGGUAGCAAUACCUAGUGGCAGACGGGUGAGUAACGCGUGGUCAACCUACCGUUGAGUGGGGGAUAACUAGCCGAAAGGUUAGCUAAUACCGCAUACGUCUCCGAGGGGCAUCCCUUGGCGAUAAAAGGAGCAAUCCGCUCGAUGACGGGACCGCGUCCCAUUAGCUAGAUGGUGGGGUAACGGCCUACCAUGGCACCGAUGGGUAGCUGGUUUGAGAGAGCGACCAGCCACACUGGGACUGAGAAACGGCCCAGACUCCUACGGGAGGCAGCAGUGAGGAAUUUUCCGCAAUGGGCGCAAGCCUGACGGAGCGACGCCGCGUGUGGGAAGAAGGCCUUCGGUCGUAACCACU